UGAUAGUAUAAAUACCAACGUCACCCCUUCAUGAAAUCCUCUUCCGCGCUUAACUCAACAGUGUAUGGUGUACAGUUCAUACUGUGCGGGCUACAAAAUGAUUAUGACGUACAACCUAACGUUACUUGAUCCUGAUGAAUGACUCAGCGAAAAUGGUUUACGAUCAGAUUAUGAGGAUCAAUCUGCUCGAUCCUGGAUGACUAUGGUGUACGAUCAGGUUAAAACCACCUUUAAGCUGACCUUGUUAAGGAAACCAGGACAUCCAGGAGCGUGGUUGUGCCUCAAGUUGUCGGAUGGUUGGAACCUCUAGUCGGACUCAUCAAUACAGUUGCCUACAUGGAAAAUUGGCUGAUCUUGCUGUUUUAGAGUUACAUCGCAAAAUGAGCCACAGGCCAAGGUUCCUGGAGGCUGUCAGACCAGUUGCGUUUGUAAUGUCCUUGGCGCCUCAAUAUAAACUGCGCAGGGUUUGGUCAUGAAGGUGCAAGGACAAUUACCACUGACCUGCAAUGUUCACUAUUUUAUUGUGCUGUCAAAAUAUACAUACUUAAACUGUAAAUGUAGUGUUAACUAUAGAUUGGUCAAUAAAGUAUACUCUAAGCA